UCUCCUCUGUUUCUCCCUGGAGGCGAAGCAGCCUAGUGAGAGCAGAGGCCAACUUCUGCGGCCUGGUCGAUGGCGGGUGUGGCCCCCAAUACACAGGGCGUAUGACAGUCCUCGUGCGUAUCGGAAGAAAACCAGCUGACUUGCUGCAUAUGUAGGAGAUUUUGUCCAUCACUUGAUCAUACCUUGUCCACAGCAGGUCGAUACGUCAUACGAGUGUCCUCGUCGUUCUCUUCUGAUGCUGAAUGUCUUGUAUCAGCCCGUUGAUCAUACCUUGGGCUUCUCCGGCAGCGCUGUCCGUAGCAGUGUAUCUGCUAGGCGAAAGCUCGCCCAAAAAGACCUUUGUUUCUGGCCAUCCGUUCCAAGCCUGCGAUGGUACAGUCAUUUCUAUACGACCUCUGAAGCUACCAGAGUCUUCUUCCACUGUUUUCACAGAUUUGAUUAUCAGUCGCGUCAUUAGACAUACUUGUUUCA